rnacentral:rRNA from 1 species
GAGUGGAAGCCUGGCGGCAGCCUAACACAUGCAAGUCGAACGGUAACAGGAUGUGCUUGCACAUCGCUGACGAGUGGCGGACGGGUGAGUAAUGCUUGGGAACUUGCCUUUGCGAGGGGGAUAACAGUUGGAAACGACUGCUAAUACCGCAUAAUGUUUUCGAACCAAACGGGGCUUCGGCUCCGGCGCAAAGAGAGGCCCAAGUGAGAUUAGCUAGUUGGUAAGGUAACGGCUUACCAAGGCGACGAUCUCUAGCUGUUCUGAGAGGAAGAUCAGCCACACUGGGACUGAGACACGGCCCAGACUCCUACGGGAGGCAGCAGUGGGGAAUAUUGCACAAUGGGGGAAACCCUGAUGCAGCCAUGCCGCGUGUGUGAAGAAGGCCUUCGGGUCGUAAAGCACUUUCAGUUGUGAGGAAAAGUUAGUAGUUAAUACCUGCUAGCCGUGACGUUAACAACAGAAGAAGCACCGGCUAACUCCGUGCCAGCAGCCGCGGUAAUACGGAGGGUGCGAGCGUUAAUCGGAAUUACUGGGCGUAAAGCGCACGCAGGCGGUUUGUUAAGCUAGAUGUGAAAGCCCCGGGCUUAACCUGGGAUGGUCAUUUAGAACUGGCAGACUAGAGUCUUGGAGAGGGGAGUGGAAUUCCAGGUGUAGCGGUGAAAUGCGUAGAUAUCUGGAGGAACAUCAGUGGCGAAGGCGACUCCCUGGCCAAAGACUGACGCUCAUGUGCGAAAGUGUGGGUAGCGAACAGGAUUAGAUACCCUGGUAGUCCACACCGUAAACGAUGUCAACUAGCCGUUGGAAGCCUUGAGCUUUUAGUGGCGCAGCUAACGCAUUAAGUUGACCGCCUGGGAGUACGGCCGCAAGGUUAAAACUCAAAUGAAUUGACGGAAGGGCG